rnacentral:rRNA from 1 species
UACGUAGGGCGCAAGCGUUGUCCGGAAUUAUUGGGCGUAAAGAGCUCGUAGGCGGUUUGUCGCGUCUGCUGUGAAAACCUGCAGCUCAACUGCAGGCUUGCGGUCGAUACGGGCAGGCUAGAGUUCGGUAGGGGAGACUGGAAUUCCUGGUGUAGCGGUGAAAUGCGCAGAUAUCAGGAGGAACACCGGUGGCGAAGGCGGGUCUCUGGGCCGAUACUGACGCUGAGGAGCGAAAGCGUGGGGAGCGAACAGG